CGGGGGGGGCUUACACAUGCAAGUCGAACGAUGACCGCUUUCGGGCGGGGAUUAGUGGCGAACGGGUGAGUAACACGUGGGCAAUCUGCCCUGCACUCUGGGACAAGCCCUGGAAACGGGGUCUAAUACCGGAUAUGACUGUCCAUCGCAUGGUGGAUGGUGUAAAGCUCCGGCGGUGCAGGAUGAGCCCGCGGCCUAUCAGCUUGUUGGUGAGGUAGUGGCUCACCAAGGCGACGACGGGUAGCCGGCCUGAGAGGGCGACCGGCCACACUGGGACUGAGACACGGCCCAGACUCCUACGGGAGGCAGCAGUGGGGAAUAUUGCACAAUGGGCGAAAGCCUGAUGCAGCGACGCCGCGUGAGGGAUGACGGCCUUCGGGUUGUAAACCUCUUUCAGCAGGGAAGAAGCGAAAGUGACGGUACCUGCAGAAGAAGCGCCGGCUAACUACGUGCCAGCAGCCGCGGUAAUACGUAGGGCGCAAGCGUUGUCCGGAAUUAUUGGGCGUAAAGAGCUCGUAGGCGGCUUGUCACGUCGGUUGUGAAAGCCCGGGGCUUAACCCCGGGUCUGCAGUCGAUACGGGCAGGCUAGAGUUCGGUAGGGGAGAUCGGAAUUCCUGGUGUAGCGGUGAAAUGCGCAGAUAUCAGGAGGAACACCGGUGGCGAAGGCGGAUCUCUGGGCCGAUACUGACGCUGAGGAGCG
rnacentral:rRNA from 1 species